rfam:TPA: Bos taurus chromosome 3, whole genome shotgun sequence.
CCUGGUGGCUCAGACAGUAAAGCAUCUGCCUACAAUGCAGGAGACCCAGGUUCAAUCCCUGGGUCAGGA